rnacentral:rRNA from 1 species
AAUUCGAUUGAGUUUGAUCAUGGCUCAGAACGAACGCUGGCGGCGUGGAUAAGACAUGCAAGUCGAGCGCUAAUUUGAAGGUAGCAAUAUUUUCAAGUUGGAGCGGCGCAAGGGUGCGUAACACGUGGGUAAUUUGCCGAGAAGUUGGGGAUAACUUGCUGAAAGGCGGGCUAAUACCGAAUGUGACGUUUGGAAGGCAUCUUCUGAAUUUCAAAGUUGGGGACCGUAAGGCCUGACGCUUCUUGAUAAGCCCGCGGCCUAUCAGCUAGUUGGUGAGGUAAUGGCUCACCAAGGCUAAGACGGGUAGCUGGUCUGAGAGGACGACCAGCCACACUGGAACUGAGACACGGUCCAGACACCUACGGGUGGCAGCAGUCGAGAAUUUUUCUCAAUGGGCGAAAGCCUGAAGGAGCGACGCCGCGUGGGGGAUGAAUGGCUUCGGCCCGUAAACCCCUGUCAUUUGCGAACAAACCUUACGAUUUAAUAGAUCGUGAGCUGAUUGUAGCGAAAGAGGAAGGGACGGCUAACUCUGUGCCAGCAGCCGCGGUAAUACAGAGGUCCCAAGCGUUGUUCGGAUUCACUGGGCGUAAAGGGUGCGUAGGUGGUCGGGUAAGUCUGAUGUGAAAUCUCCGAGCUUAACUCGGAAAUGGCAUUGGAUACUAUUCGGCUAGAGGGUUUGAGGGGGGA